rnacentral:rRNA from 1 species
UACGUAGGGUGCAAGCGUUAUUCGGAAUUACUGGGCGUAAAGCGUGCGCAGGCGGCUUUGCAAGUCAGAUGUGAAAUCCCCGGGCUUAACCUGGGAACUGCAUUUGUGACUGCAUGGCUGGAGUGCGGCAGAGGGGGAUGGAAUUCCGCGUGUAGCAGUGAAAUGCGUAGAUAUGCGGAGGAACACCGAUGGCGAAGGCAAUCCCCUGGGCCUGCACUGACGCUCAUGCACGAAAGCGUGGGGAGCAAACAGG